rnacentral:rRNA from 1 species
AGAAUCAACGCUGGCGGCGUGCCUAACACAUGCAAGUCGAACGCGAAAGCCCCGCAAGGGGCAAGUAGAGUGGCAAACGGGUGAGUAACACGUGGGUGACCUGCCUUCGAGCGGGGGAUAACGGUCCCGAAAGGGACGCUAAUACCGCAUAACAUCCUGCCUUUGAAGAGGUGGAGAUCAAAGCUGGGGAUCGCAAGACCCGGCACUUGAAGAGGGGCCCGCGCCUGAUUAGCUAAGGUUGGUGGGGUAAUGGACCUACCAAGGCAACGAUCAGUAUCCGGCCUGAGAGGGCGACGGACACGCGUGGACUGACGCACGGCCAGACUCCGACGGAGCAGCAGGUGGGAAUGU